CAUCGGGCCCUCCAGCCUCCCGCAGCGUCCCGCAGCGCCCUGGCGGGCAGCAGCCUGGGUGGUAGCGGCGCGCUUGGUGCUCGGCGCCAGCACCUGCUACUGCCAUCUACAGGCUGAGGCGGGGCCCGCGGCGAGGCGGCCGGGGGCAUCGGCUGAGCCCCUCUGGAUCUGCAGGCUCUGUUACUGUCAAGGUCCCAUCUUCUCCUCAAACCUAUUUACAGUUAUCAGGAAAAGAGGUUGAUAUGAACCCAGAAGUCAAUGUUCAGGAAGUGGCUGAAGAUGAUAAAGAUGAUGGUGUAACAAUUAUUGAUCAGGUCUCCUUCUGGCUGCGCUGGACCUGCGCACGCGGGGGACUUCCGCAUCGGGCCCUCCAGCCUCCCGCAGCGUCCCGCAGCGCCCUGGCGGGCAGCAGCCUGGGUGGUAGCGGCGCGCUUGGUGCUCGGCGCCAGCACCUGCUACUGCCAUCUACAGGCUGAGGCGGGGCCCGCGGCGAGGCGGCCGGGGGCAUCGGCUGAGCCCCUCUGGAUCUGCAGGCUCUGUUACUGUCAAGGUCCCAUCUUCUCCUCAAACCUAUUUACAGUUAUCAGGAAAAGAGGUUGAUAUGAACCCAGAAGUCAAUGUUCAGGAAGUGGCUGAAGAUGAUAAAGAUGAUGGUGUAACAAUUAUUGAUCAGGUCUCCUUCUGGCUGCGCUGGACCUGCGCACGCGGG